GACGAACGCUGGCGGCGUGCUUAACACAUGCAAGUCGAACGAAGUGGCGAACGGGUGAGUAACACGUGAGUAACCUGCCCUCUUCUUUGGGAUAACGGUCGGAAACGGCUGCUAAUACUGGAUAGUGGGGGAUGGGUUAGCGGCCUAUCUGCGUGUUGGUGGGGUGAUGGCCUCACAAGGCUUUGACGGGUCACCGGCCUGAGAGGGUGGCCGGGCACAUUGGGACUGGGAAACGGCCUAGUCGACUACGGUGGGCAGCAGUGGGGAAAUUUGCACAAUGGGCGCAAGCCUGAUGCAGCGUCGCCGCGUGAGGGAUGAAGGCCUUCGGGUUGUAUUCCUUUUUCGCUCAUGGUCGGGUAGUGGGUAAAGAAGCGCCGGCUAACUACGUGCCAGCAGCCGCGGUAAUAC
rnacentral:rRNA from 1 species